rnacentral:rRNA from 1 species
UGCUGCUGGUUCUCUAGGGAGCAAUGUGCACACUUGUCAUCUUUAUAUUUUCUCCUGUGCACCUUUUGUAGACCUGAGUAUCUCUCUGAAUGCUUGUUUAGCAUUUAGGAUUGAGAAUUGACUUAUUGUCUCUUCUUAUAUUUUUAGGUCUAUGUUUCUUCAUAUACCCUAAUGUAUGUUUAUAGAAUGUAAUUGAUAGGCCUUUGUGCCUAUAAACCUUUACAACUUUCAGCAACGGAUCUCUUGGCUCUCGCAUCGAUGAAGAACGCAGCGAAAUGCGAUAAGUAAUGUGAAUUGCAGAAUUCAGUGAAUCAUCGAAUCUUUGAACGCACCUUGCGCUCCUUGGUAUUCCGAGGAGCAUGCCUGUUGAGUGUCAUUAAUAAUAUCAACCUUUUUGGUUGGAUGUGGGUUUGCUGGCCACUUGACAAGAGGUCAGCUUCCCUUAAAUGCAUUACGGACAACAUUUUGCCAACCGUUAUUGGUGUGAUAAUUAUCUACGCUAUUGACGUGAAGCAGGUUCAGCUUCUAACAGUCCAUUGACUUGGACAACCCUCUUUU